UGGCUUUGUCAUUGGUUUUCGGUCAAUCCAUUGAUCUUUUGGCUCUGAUUUGACUAUAGAAGUGUUUAAAAUUGAAUUCCGAGCAAUGAAAAAAAUAUUUAUCUCUUUUGGCGGUCGGAAGUGGCUCCGACACGGCGGCGGGUGGCUGCGGGUCUCCUUCCCGGCAGUUGGGUCUUCUUCUCCAGCAAAGGUGUCUGGCAGCUAGGGUUAGGAUUUGGUGUGAAGAGGGUUAUUUAUAUCCGUCCCCUUUUAAUCUAGACCGUCCAUCGCAUUUGAUCUAAACCAUCUAAUUGCGAUUAAAUAAGAAGUAGAUCUGGACCAUUGAUCGCGUUUAAAUCUGACUGUCCGAUCGCGUCUUGGGAGUGCACGCAUCUGGGCCGUUCGUGCACGUGGGAGCAAAUAUGGAUCGUCCAAUCAUGGAUACAUGGAUUGCCCGCAUGGCCUUGCAUCAGCGUUCCUCGCCACGCGGCGUGUUCUGGUUCGUUAGGGCCGCUGACUGGGCAUCCUACGUGGCACAACUUUCUUAAAUUGCAUUUUGACAUCCGAU
rnacentral:lncRNA from 1 species